UUUCAUCUAUCUUUGGCUGGGGUAUUGCUACAACGUUAAUCUUUAAGCAGGAUUCCAUAAAAGCUCUUACACUGAGCUUGUGCAUCAAAAUCCCUAAUACAGUGUGGAACAAAAUCCAGGCAAAAUAAAUUUAUAACAUUGUAAAAUCCUAAGAUUCUAGACCUGCGAACUUCUACAUCAGUGGAGUUACAAUGUGUUCGAGCCCUAUAUUAAAACUAAUCACCGUGGUCCUGCACCCCCCUUGCCGCUGAUCUGGUACAUCCACGUAAAACAGGACAGGUUAGAAAAUGAUUAGUGUACAAACAAGCACGAGCCAGCAAGAAUGGGUCGCCUUCCAUGAGUAUCUGAUGAUUCACACCCUUUUUAUGAAUGAGGUGAGAUCACAAAGGCCUGGUAACUGGAGGUUUUUUCAUUGUAGUUCUUAUUACCAUCAUUUCCUGCUUGGUUCAGAAAUGCAAGAGGUGGGAAAUCCUCAUCCUUCAACUGAUAAUUCCUUUGGACCACUGAUCU
rnacentral:misc_RNA from 1 species